CCCUUAGAUGUUCUGGGCCGCACGCGUGCUACACUGAGUGGAUCAGCGGGUCAGGUUGCGCGAAAGCGUUUCCUAAUCUUUAAAUCCGCUCGUUAUGGGGAUUGACGGUUGCAAUUUUCUGUCAUGAACGAGGAAUACCUUGUAAGCGCGGGUCAUCAUCCCGCGCUGAAUACGUCCCUGCCCUUUGUACACACCGCCCGUCGCUCCUACCGAUUGAGUGGUCCGGUGAGGCUUUGGGAUCUGAGCGGAAAGAGCGUUUCGCUGUUUCUGCUCGGAAAACUCAGUCGAACCUUAUCAUUUAGAGGAAGGAGAAGUCGUAACA
rnacentral:rRNA from 1 species